CAGAUUCAUAACAACAUGUAACAUGCCGGGCGGUGGUGGUGCACGCCUUUAAUCCCAGUAUUCCGGAAGCAGAGGCAGGAGGAUCUCUGUGAGUUUGAGAGGGAAGAACCAGGGCACAGCUACAGGAAGAGCAAAGCAAAAUCAGCAUCCAGGAGUGUAAUCGAAUCCUAGGCUCAGCGUCCAGCAUCUGGGGCUCACAAACUUCCGAGCUCCGAAGGGCUUGAGCAGAUCUACUCUGGUUCUGCCAUCUGCAGUAUGCACAACCCAUCUCAUAGGCUCUGACAGCUCCACUCCACAGCUACUGGGUGGUCAUCCGCCAAGAACUAGAGUCUGGACAACUCUAAUAUGAUGGAGUUUUCACUGCAACGGGGGCUGCCCCAUCACCAAUGGCCGGCCUCUCCCAGUGCCAAACCUCAGUUUCUCUACAUGAUCUCCUCAAUCCUAGGGUCUCCAUUGCAGCAGGGGCUGCACCUUCACCAAUAGCCCAUCUCUUCGGCUCUCUUCAGGGACUCUGACCCCGCUUUAUUGUGUCAAGCCUCAGCUGCUCUCAAUGAUCCCUUCAUGCUUUCGGAAACAGUGCCACCUGCUCUGGGUAGGAGGUCAGUACUGUGGGUGACUUUCCGAGCUCUUUGGAGGAGCCUAGAUCACAAAUGACUCCCAGAAGUCAGACACGGAGCUUUACUUUGUUAGACUUUGGGUCUACUUGAUUGUGGCUGUGACUUCUUGGAGUUCUUCCUUCUUGGAGUAAGAAAAUAUUUCACUUAUUUUGACUUUGCAGGAGAUCACGGUUGAUGGAGUUUCGAGUUUGGGAGAUAUUUUGGAGUGUUAGAGAGACUUAGACUAUUUUAAAGACUUUGGCUAUUUUAGAGGGCCUUGAACUUUGAAAGAGACUUUGGAAGUUUUAAAGAGAUUUAACAUUUAAAGUGUUUGAAUUUGUAAAGACUAUGACUUUUAAAAGUUGGGAUGCUUUAUAUUGUGAUAAUAUUAAUAUGUGAUCUUGGCAAUGAACAAGAAAGGGAAGGUAUGAUUAA